AGAGCUUUUAAAGCUGCAAUGGGAAACUUUUAAUUCGUCUUUUAUUUAAAGCUUAGAUGUUUUUCCUUUAGUUAGUAAUUUCUAUUUAAUGUUCUCUCUUUGUGUAGUUGUGAAUAUAAAUAAAAAUAAACAACGAAUUGAAAGGAGAUGUAACCGAAAUGCAGAUCCCAUCUGCAUAUUGGCGCGAUUAUGACGUAACUUGUUUCUAAAUACAAUUGGAUUUAAUCACCUACAACAUAAAAACAAUAUUACACUAAUAAAAAAAUGGAUUCAACAAAGUCUCAGCAAGUCAACAGGCAAGAAGUUGAUUUUCAGAAAAAAACUGAGGAUGCAUUUCCCUCAAGGUUUCAUAAAAAUAAAGCUUGUUGUGGACUGUUGGCUGUUGAUGAAAGUCGCUGUAAGGACCAAUGUGAAAACAACAUCGUAGAGUCGUCAUUUGACACUCAAAUUGCAGAAAAUUCUUCAAAAAAUGUUUCGAGAGAACUUAAAUCCCAAGAUCACACUUCCCCGAAAGAUAAACAAAUAUCAGAUGAAUUAAGGAAGACAGAUGAAAAUAUUAAUAAAUUUCAGAAUAUUAAAAAAUCCCAGUCUGUAGAAAAUUUAAAAAAAAAUUCUGAAAUAAAUUUAACCAAUAAAUGUUUAUAUACAAAUUUAAAUGCAAGUCCUAAAGAAAAAAAUGCCUUGGAUGAACGAGCAAUGUUUAUUAAAUUUCAUUCUCUGGAAUUGUGCGCUGAUAAAUUAUGUAGUUUACACAUACAUGAAAAAUGUUCUACUGAUAUCCAUAAAUGCGUAGUCGAUUCCGAAUCGAAUAAGCCAAACACAGUGGAAAAGUGCUUAGAUUAUGAAAGCGUUAAAAGGUAUCCUUGUAAAGUUUCCAAUGAACCACUUGAACAUAAUACGGCAUCAAAACCUCAAAUCUUAUACGAGACUCGUCCUAUCUACCCGAAUGUACCGUAUAGCCCUUAUAGUACUCCUUUCAGUAGUCCUCGAUCUAGUCGACGGAAACCAGCUUUUCGGGAGUCUAGAAGGAUAUCGAUAGAUAAAUCUGGAAGUUUUCUUCAGUUAAACCAAUAUAGAUUAAUGGAACAAAUUGGACAGGGUUCCUACGGGCUCGUUAAAUUGGCUUAUUCCGAAGAAGACUCCACUCAUUAUGCAAUGAAAAUUCUUUCAAAAAAGCGCCUCCUACGACAAGCUGGUCUUAUGCGGCGAGGACCUCGAAAAGCAACAUCACCUCUAGAUCGAGUUUACAGAGAAAUAGCAGUUUUAAAAAAACUCGAUCAUCCAAACGUCGUCAAGUUGGUAGAAGUGCUGGAUGACCCACUUGAAGAUUCAUUGUAUAUGGUUUUUGAAUUGGUAAAACAAGGUGAAGUUCUGAGGAUUCCAACAGAUAAUCCCUUGUCUGAGAAAAGAGCUUGGAGUAUAUUUCGGGAGUCUUUACUUGGAUUGGAAUAUUUGCACCAUCAAAAAAUUAUCCAUGCCGACAUUAAGCCUGGAAAUAUAUUAUUAACCGAAUUUGGACAUGUAAAAAUAGCUGAUCUUGGCGUAUGCAAUGAAUUCCUUGGGGAUGAUGCAACAAUAAGUAAUGGAUCAACGGCUGGAACUCCAGCUUUCCGGGCUCCUGAAACUCUAAUCCCUGGACAGAACGAAUAUUGUGGAAGGGCGGCAGAUGUGUGGGCCUUAGGCGCUACUCUAUAUUCCUUAAUAUUCGGAAAUGUGCCGUUCCUAGCUGAUUCAGUGCCCUUACUGUACGAAAAAAUUAAACACGAUUCUGUCAAAUUUCCAGAAAACCACAAAGUAACUGAAAAUUUAAAAAGUUGCAUAGUUCAAAUGUUGGAAAAGGAUGCGAAGCACAGAAUCACUAUUCCCCAGUUAAAGACCAGUAAAUGGGUAACUUCCGAUGGGGAGUAUCCCUUGCCGACCGAAGAAGAAAAUUGUUGCUUGGUGCAAGUAGACGACGAAGACAUAGACUCCGUCGUGCGCAGCAUUCCUAAAUUAGACACACUUAUUUUAAUAAAAACAAUGUUAAAAAAGCAUUCAUUUGGCAACCCGUUUGUAAAAGGAUGUUCUGGAACAUCAUCAGCACUCGCGGGCUGCUCGAGGAUUGAAAGGUUCAUACGCGCAGGUCGAUCUAAUUCAGCACCUGGUUCAUAUCAUAUGCCAACAGCCAGACAGCCUUCGUCGGAUACUCUCCUGCCAUCACUAAUGGAACAUUGCUCUACUCAAUGUAAUGAAGAAACUCAUAGUUUUGAUUAUUAGAAACCGCUUGUCCAACUAUAAUUUAUAACUAUAAGUUUACAUAGAACAAAAAAACAAAUUUUAUACUUUUGAAUUGGACAGUUUCCAAAAGCCAAAUACUUGAAAUACUUUAAAAUAUUUCAUUUUUAGUGAUUAAAUUUACGUAUUGUGAUAAAAAUAAAUGUAGAAUAUUAUAACGUUUUUGGGAAAAUGAGGAAUCGACUUAGUCGUUUUUAAACGUGCGUCCAUUUUCCUAUUGAUUACAUUGCUAUUAAGUAAAAAUACAAGAAUAUUUGUCAGGAGUUUGGACAGCCGCGGCGGAAUGAUGGUGGCGCUCGUAUCUGGCGGAGCGUUGCUGGAGCACACCACGUUGGAUAUGUUGCCCCAGCUGAUGUCCUUGCUGAUGCAAAAGUUGCCUGCGGUGCAACAGCUGACCUCUCGCUUGAUGAAAUCAGUUCCAGAGCGAAAGUGCGAAAUCGUUUAUAUUGGAUCCGACGGUUUUAGACAGGGGCGAUCACAGGCCGGCGAUAUCCACGACAGCCAGCUGCAGCCGUUAUGCCGACCAGAAGGACGAUCCCAACAAGGAGGAGGAGGCUUUCUGUGGAGGAGCAACCCAAAUUACCCAGGGCGAAGAAUGUGUUUUCUACCUUCAGGAGCUUGGUUGGGAACCACCAGUCUAGACAAGCAUUUUAUGGAGUUUCUGGAAUGAAAAUUCUUGUUCAGCUUGGAUAUUUUCAAAACCUGGAGUUAUGGUUCCACUGUGAAAUACAUAUCCUAGAAUAUGUACUUUGUGUGUAAGAUUUGCCAAUAGCUCCAGUUGAUGAGCAAUCUGUUUCUAGCAACCUUUAGGCUUUAUUUUCCUUAGGAAGUCCCCUCUUGUCGUCCAUGUCCAUAACGACCCAAAAUGGGGCGCCGCCAAAACCAUCGCCCCCCAUCGAUAUGGCCCUAUCAUCAUCGAAACCAACACUUACUAAAGACUAUGCUGAGUUUUGGCAUAACGAUAAAUGGUAGCUUGGAAGAAUCAACAAGGCACUGAUGCAGUCAAGCAGUCGAGCGGCGCCUUACGUGAUGCUCACGCUGUACGGGAAGUAUAUUUGAUCGGUUCCUUGACAUUGUAUACUUUGUUCUUCCGUUCUGCAGAUCACAGAAGAAUGGAGUUUCUCCUGUGGCUGACAGCCCAUACGGAAGGCCACCUCGAUUUUCGGCAGAUGCGCAUCCUACUCUCUGUGAUCCUCUUCCAAGAAGAUCCGGAUUGCCGCCAGCACAUUUCGAUUUACCGUCUCUGCUUUGCGGGACCCCGAAGAUGUAAAAAAUUUCGAUCACCAGAAAAUCUACUACGUUUGCCGCCGUCGCAUCCUUCAUAGCGUUCAGGAAAAUGUCUUUUGAGAAAUGGACCACUACAAUAAAUAUCCAUGCGGUACCGCUCUUUAACCUCGGAUAUUUUUUUAAAGAGCCGAUGUAGGGUAUCUGUAUAGGACUUACACGUUAUGGUAUUGCAAGCUUGCAGAGAAGCCGUUCGUCAAACAAGGCGAUGGAAAAUAUUUACUGGUCACCAUUUACGUGGUUGAUUUGCUUUUGGCGUCGAAUCAUCCUAAAUGGUUGGCAGAAACCAACGCCCACUUAGGAGCAUCAUUCAAGACGAAAGAUUUUGAUCCAGUCAAGACAUAUUUGGGCAUUGAAUUCAAACAUGUGUGAAAUCAGACUGUUUUCUUGAGUCAGGAGAAGUACAUCGAGAAUAUUCUUCGAAAAUUCGGAAUGGAAGACUGCAAGCAAGCUAUCACACAGGUCGAGGCGAUGUCAGCAUUAAAGCGUCCAGAGAAGCCAGACAAUGAGUAAAUGAAACGGCAUCCUUAUCAAUUGGUUCUAAUUGGUUCCCCUGUGAUUCUUGCAUUUUCGUGGAUUCCAUAUCUUGGGAAGCGCGCAAGGAACGCACCGUGGCUUUGUCGAGUACUGAGUCAGAAUACUUGGCGAUGUCGGAAGCUGUAAAAGAUGCUCUAAGAAGAUAAAUCAAAUAAAGCAUAUCAAUUAUUCAGCAA